CCAUCUUUAUAUGGAAUGAAAUGGAUCUGCUGAUAUAUCAGAUCGAGAUAAAAAGGAGACCUCUACUGUAUGUCGUAAACAUUAUAGUACCGGUAUUUUUCUUCCUCAUGCUGGAUCUGGCCUCCUUCUUCAUUGUC